GAUAUUGUCGUAUAUUAGUACAUUUGACUUCCAAUCAAAUAGUAAAAAUAUUUAUUUUUUAAUAUUA
rnacentral:tRNA from 1 species